rnacentral:rRNA from 1 species
CAACCUGCCGCUUACUCGGGGAUAGCCUUUCGAAAGAAAGAUUAAUACCCGAUGGUAUAAAGAGUUCGCAUGUUCUCUUUAUUAAAGAAUUUCGGUAAGCGAUGGGGAUGCGUUCCAUUAGAUAGUUGGCGGGGUAACGGCCCACCAAGUCUACGAUGGAUAGGGGUUCUGAGAGGAANGNCCCCCACAUUGGAACUGAGACACGGUCCAAACUCCUACGGGAGGCAGCAGUGAGGAAUAUUGGUCAAUGGACGAGAGUCUGAACCAGCCAAGUAGCGUGAAGGAUGACNNNCCUAUGGGUUGUAAACUUCUUUUAUAAGGGAAUAAAGUGAGGGACGUGUCCCUUUUUGUAUGUACCUUAUGAAUAAGGAUCGGCUAACUCCGUGCCAGCAGCCGCGGUAAUACGGAGGAUCCAAGCGUUAUCCGGAUUUAUUGGGUUUAAAGGGAGCGUAGGUUGACAUAUAAGUCAGCUGUGAAAGUUUACGGCUCAACCGUGAAAUUGCAGUUGAUACUGUAUGUCUUGAGUGUACAAGAGGUGGGCGGAAUUCGUGGUGUAGCGGUGAAAUGCUUAGAUAUCACGAAGAACUCCGANUG